UACGAAGGGUGCAAACGUUGCUCGGAAUUAUUGGGCGUAAAGCGCACGUAGGCGGCUUGGCAAGUCGGAUGUGAAAUCCCUCGGCUCAACCAAGGAAGUGCAUCCGAAACUGCCGAGCUUGAGUACUUAAGAGGAUCGCGGAAUUCCCGGUGUAGAGGUGAAAUUCGUAGAUAUCGGGAGGAACACCCGUGGCGAAGGCGGUUCUCUGGGACGGUACUGACGCUGAGACGCGAAAGCGUGGGGAGCGAACAGG
rnacentral:rRNA from 1 species